rnacentral:sRNA from 2 species
UGUGCGCUUCUCAGCGGUGCUCAGCCGUGAGGAGCGCACACGCCGCACUUCGCCCAUGCCUUCGUCCUUUGUACAGCUGUUGCGCUGAUGGGGCAAGCGAGGCGCGCUGAUGCGAUGGUGCGGAAUGUGGGGAGGGAGACGACGGACGACGCUCUGCUUGAGCUAUCGAAGGUCACAUGCAAUGCGAGGUCCAUAUCCCUUCCCAGUCUUUCAGACACCUCCAGGCCCAGUGUCGCCUCCACCACCCCAUACACACACACACACACACAAACACAGAUCUGCGCCAUCCUCCUCCGUCUUUUUCGCCCUUCACGUGUAUGCAUACUGCCAACGGCUCUGCGCUACUCUCUCCUGCCCUCUCCCCCCGCUUGCCCUUCCCCUUCUCCCUGCCGUAACCGCUAUCACGCAUUCCCCCACCUUGUGGUGAUGGCAGCGCGCGCGUUGCCUCGCCGCCGCGCACACAGAAACGCAUGCAUUUGCCGACGGGGCAGGCUCAAUGACCACGCAGGAUGAGGGGGCAGAGCCGCAGUGGACUCUCCUGGUGUGCAUGCCCGAGUGUCAGGCAGCGCACGUCAGCAUCGUGCGUGAGCUGCGCGAUGAUGGCGUCGACAUUGUCGAGCGCCGAUUUGUACUGACACCCGAUCAGGCCCUCACCAUCGCCCAACAAUAUGCGCACCUGCGGCGGCGUGCGGCAGCGCUCGUCAGUUCUCCACGAGCGCUGCCGCGGAGGCAGGGGCCGGCAAGACAUCGCCGAAGCCGUUCCUGUCAGAGGCACAGCACCGGCAAUAGUCAGCGACGCUGUCUCAGCAACAGGCGGAGUCGCGAGCCGUGAGCGGCCAGUUGCUGGACAAAAUCAUGCGCCUCACUCAAAGGCAUCGAGCGCAUCAGCAAUCAGGGCCCUCGCCCGCCCCCACGCCUGGCAAGGGGGCGGGUGGCGCUUGCGAGGUGGCGCCGCGGCCAUUGCUCUCUGAGCUGCUCUCUCUCCGAGGAAAAGGGGCGGAUGGCGACGGCGUGAGCUCUGAGCGGACGUUAUCCAGCCAACACCGCUCACGCAGCUGCGAGCGCUGCCACCACUGGCACCACUGCAGCCGGGGCAGUUGCACCGGCACUAUAUCAGCGCUCUCUUCCCGGUGCGCUCUCCUCGCCGUCGGCCACAGCAUCGCCGAAGCGCUGCACCCCUGCCAAGGAUAGUCACACGUUCAUUACAGAUCCGCAGGUCCGGCAGCAGGUAGCGUCUCUCCUGCAGGAGGGGGGCACCGUGUUGGUGCUGCUCUUACGCGCCGUCAACGCUGUCGAGCGACUGGUGCGCCUGGCUGGCCCGCAGGAUCCUCUCGAGGCACGACGCGUCGUACCGGGACCCUGGUCUGCUCACUACGGUGUCGACGAAGUACGAAUGGGCGUGUACACACCGAGCAACCUUGCAGAUGCACGGGUCGCCGCCGAAAGUGUCUUUGGCGAGGCGUACGCGGGCCAGGCAGCCCACCGCAAGCCCCGGCUGUCAUGGGAGCGCAAAGCUCCGCGGGGUCGCCGGGGCAUCGCUGGCCACGGAAGACGCACUAGCGACCCCGCGGAGCUUUGCGCAGAUCCUCCCCACGCUGCGCGCCGGGGUGCCCGCCACGCAGCGUAUUUCCCCUACUACACCGGCGUGCAAGGGCCCACGGCGUCGGCUGCGACAACGUGCGCCACUAUCCCGACUGCGGCGGCAGAGGGAAUCGAUGCCGUGGCCCCUGGAGAGCGAGCCGCCGCCGUAUGCCCGAGCGCCACCCCACAGUACCCGCAGCGCCAAGCGAGGCUUGACGAGCUGGAUGACUUGCUGCGCGGCCACGAUGGCUGCUGGCCCUACACGCACACGCGCGCUCGUAUGCGUGUGCGUGUGCGUCCCGCCGUCGGGGUACAAGGAGCAGACGACGGCGAGCGGAAGAGUGAGUGAAGAUGCACACAAUGUGAACCGAAACAAGGGAAGCCAUACCCCCUCCCCCCCCCCACCACCACCACCACUGCUGCGGAAUGGGGAGAGGGGGGAGGUGUGCAGAUGGCGGAGAGGGCCGGCGCUGCUUGCGUGCAGCAGUGUGUUUCGCUCUCGCCCUUCUCGAUCAACACCCCCUCCCUCCCUCCCUCCCUCCCCCAUCCACUCCGGCACAUCUCACAAGAAAAUGAGUUGAACGAGAAACGGCGCGAGCGUUCACGGUCGCACCGCCACGCCACUCGCCCCACACUGGAGGACUCUACGUAGUCGCUCGACAGGCGGAUGCGGAUGCAGUGCUGCCUCCCCUGCUUGGCUGCAACACCUUUUGCCUACCCCCCACCCCACCCCUCUCUCCCAUCUCCCACCACUGCAGCAGCUUCGCUUGCUUGUCAUGCUCGUGCUCGUACUGGGGGGAAGGCAUGCAUGUAAUGCCCCGCCUCCUUCAUCUCCGCUCAUAUCAUGCUCCCCUCGCCGUCUUCUCUCUACCGCUACACCCUCUUGAAUACCUGUCUCUCGCCCGCCCCCUUCACACGCUCUCUGCCUCUGGUGCGCGCACCCGGGUGCGAAGUGUAUCUUCGGAUUCAGCGUCGCCUUGUUUGCAUCCUCCGUCGCUAUUAGCCGGUUUUCCUUUUUCCGCGUUGUGCGUGUCUCUGUCUCUGUUUGGUUGUCGUGCGCGUGCGUAUGUGCGUUGUCGUUGUGUUGAAGCCUCUGCUCAGCAUCUGACCCCC